CACCUUUAUUUUGAAUCUGACUCUCACUCUCGCUCUCACUCACGCUCACACUCACAUUCGCGCUCGCUCUCGCUCUCAAAAUCGAAAUCGAUUCAAAUCGGUGAGUGUUCAUCAGAGCCAUUUCAAAGUUCGAAGUUCAUCAGAGCCAUUUCCAAGAUCUUACAUCGGUGAUUCAUCAGAGCCAUUUCGAAGCUCUCUCUCAAAAUCGAUUCAGAUCGGUGAAUCGAUUCAGAUCGCUCUGUGAUUCAGAGAUUCAGCUCGGUCUCAGCGAAACAGAUCGAUGAUUCAUCAGAGCCAUUUCAGUUCUCUCUCGAAAUCGAAUUUCAUCUCAGCGAUUCAGAUUGUCUUUCUACCACAUCACGUAGCGGUAGCACAUCACAUGGCUCUGUUUCAGCUGGUCCUAGCUCAAGUCAAGCCACACAAAAGCAGACAAGGGGUCCCACAUAUAUGCAUGGUCAAUGGGGUACUAGUGAAGAUGGCGUUUUAAAAGUUGUUUAAAAUGAGUUGAAUCAAGUAGUUGAAGGAUACACAUCUCUUGCUUCACAUUUGGACGUUUUGGCACGAGAUGGGAGUCUUGCACCACUUACUUUUACGACUUGGCAUUAUGUCCCAAAACAAAACAAAGAUAACAUAUGGAGGGAGAUAAAGGUGGCAGCUCAACUGGUUAAUUUUUCGAACUAAAAAGCCUAUCAGUGUUCCCUAUCAAAAAGACUGUUCUCUCUCUCUCUCUCUCUCUCUCUCUCCAUACGCAUUGCUCAGUGAUCCACUAAGCCCAGAUUCAAUGGGUACAAGUGAAAGAAAUUGAAAAUCUUUAAAAUCUGUAGGUUUAGGAAGAUUUGAAUUUUCUCUCUUUUUCCGGCCUUUUCUCAACAACGAGACAGAGGUUACAUAUUACCGGGGAAUUAGUGUUCGCAAUAUGUUCUGGUUUCUUUGUCAAUUGAAUGUGGGUCUCUUGAUUUCAAUUAUCAUGUUUUGUUUUGUGGGUUUUUCUGAAACCUGUGGGUGUGUUGCAGUUUUUAUUUGAAAUGUGUGGGCCUCUGCAAACUUUGAACUCAGAAGGCACCAUUCCAAUUUAUAGCAUUCUAGUGUAGAAUAUAAUUUAUGGGGAUGAGCAUUUAUAAAAUAUGCCAUAUUUUUUUUGUACACAGUCAAUUUUAAGUUUACUUGGAAUGGCAAAAUCCAUUUCAAAACAUAAUUUUUAUGAUGCUUGAGGAUUUAAUUUUAUUAUAUUUUUAUUUUGGUGAA